CCUUUUUUAAAUCUCCAUCAAAAUCCCUGAAUUCAAACAAAACACUUCAAUUCCACCAAAUCUUAAAAUCCUAAAAACUUUCUCAAACCCCUAAUUCAAUAAGCCCCCCUUAGUCUUUUAUGGUUUUUUUUUUAUGUUUUGACGUUUGUUAUAAUUAACUUUUGCAUGAGCUUUAAUAUAUCCUUUAGUUUAAGCCCAGUAAAAUACAUGAUUUCAUCAUCGUCUCACAUUCGACCUUUGUAUCUCAGUCGUCUGCUUUCCAGAUAACUCAUACGCCGGUAAAGUCAGAGUAACGUCUCCAGCUUCCAUUAAUAUGUAGGAUUCUAAAAAAGAAAAAAGAAAACUCCUUUUCGAUUACUCAGCAAACAAAUUCACAAAUCUCUUCAAAUUCCCUAAAGCAAUCCAAAACCUACAUAUUGAAGCAACCAUCUCUCUUCUUCAUCUAUAUGUUUAUGUACGAGGGGGACUCUUAACUGAGAUACUGAUUUUUUCCUCUUUCUCCAACUUUUCUUUGCAAGGUUUCUCGCAACAAUGGCAAUCGAGAAUCAAGAUAGCACAAUCCAGAAAAUCAAGCCAAAUAGAGAAAAACAUGGUAUUCCAAACAAUACCCUUUAUCUAAAUGAUAUUGUUUUAAUGGCUUAUCUUUAUCCCUCGAAUGUUCUUUAUACUUGAUGUUUGAGGUGUUUUAGUACAGUUGCGGGUCUGACCAAACUGCACCAUCAGGAUAACUUUGAUUUCCAAAGGAAGUUGCGUGAUCAAAAGUAUUCUUUGAAGAGGUUAUAAUAUAAGAUGGAGUACAAGGAAGAUCUACACAGGAGGCUACUACGCUAGACCAAGGUUUCUCAUUAUUGGAUACACCGGAUUGUUUCUCUUUAUCAAGAGAGGUUACUGUGGAAGAGAAUUUUGCAGAGAUUGAGCUUUAUUUGCUUCUCUUCAGGGGUGCGGUACCGAGAGGUAAAGUCUUAACUCCAUGUUCUUUGUUCAAAAAUGACUUUCCAUGAUUGCUUGAGAUAACAAUAUCGUUUAGGUCUCCAUCCACCUUUUCUUUUUAAAUUGCAUCAGUAUUUGCAUUCACAAAAAACCAUACUCUUCUUUCGAAGAUCUUCAAACAUCCAAGUUCAUGAGUGCUCUCUUUUAUAGGUGAGACCAGCUUCCUCUUCUCACCAAGCUAUAAAGUAACAAGAUAUAUAAUUUGAGAGAAUCUUAAGCAUAUAUGUCUAAUACGAUUCAAUACUUCUAAUCCUAAAACUACUCAAGACCAGCCUCCAAAGCAGAUUAUAAUAGAAUUAAGCAUAGACUCAGAUUCUUGCAAAAUCACCAUGUUUUCAUCCUUACUUUACCCAAUAUUUUUAUCUGCUUCCAUUUGAUAUAUUUACCUCCCCACCUUCGAUUUUUCUAUGUAAACUUCCUUGGCAAGGCCUUCGUGCAGGUACCAGAAAUCUGAAUUAUGGCAUGAUCAGUGAAAGAGAAAGCUUACACAUGUCGAGGUUCACUUAAAAUCAUUCCACCUGAGUUCACAUCAUACUUUCUCUAUGUACGACGAUUGCAGUGUGAAGCCAAACCAGAUAUUCAUACCCAAAGCGGCUUUUCAGGGAUCUAUUUGUUUGACGGUUGGGAGAAAUCUAUAUUUCUGUAACUUUCACGUAUCAUAUGCUCGAAGAUUUUCUCAUUAAAAACAACUCUUUCGAUUCUUUUGUGCACUCAAAACAAUUUGUUUCUAAUGUUAUAUAUUUGCAGGUUAUUAGUUGCAUAUGCACUUUGAUUGGACAUUCUUGAAGUAUCAGCAGUUUUGACUCCAACUCCAACUCCAGCUCCAGCUCCAAACCAAGAGCUUCCAUUAGAAAGACCUCGGUGACAUACACACGUCCCAACUGCAAAAGUUGGAAGACACAGCUACACAUCUCAUGGAUACGUUCAAACAUGCUAUUUGCGGUUAAAAAGAGAUGUUUAUAGCUUCGGUGUUGUGAUCUACGCCAAACUAUUGAGAGGAACAAGCCAGCCACUGAAUUGGGUGAAAUAGUAUUCUUCUGAUAGUCCACGCUUCAGCAUGAUCAUUGACAGCCUAUGCAACAACAUCCAGUGCUGUAGGGAAAGGAGUUAUUUUUAUUUCUUAAAUAGAAAAAUAAAGAGAAGCCUAUGGUGGAGACUGUAGUGGAAAGAUUAAAGAAGAUUAUCAAAACAAACGAUAUAUUUUUCUCUAGGUUGCGUCAAAACUAAUUUGAACACCAAUUUUAUAAUUA